AUACGGAGGAUCCAAGCGUUAUCCGGAAUCAUUGGGUUUAAAGGGUCCGUAGGCGGGUUUGUAAGUCAGUGGUGAAAGUUUUCGGCUCAACCGGAAAAUUGCCAUUGAUACGGCAAGUCUUGAAUCAUUAUGAAGUGGUUAGAAUGUGUAGUGUAGCGGUGAAAUGCAUAGAUAUUCCACAGAAUACCGAUUGCGAAGGCAGAUCACUAAUAAUGUAUUGACGCUAAGGGACGAAAGCGUGGGUAGCGAACAGUAUUAGAAACCCGGGUAGUCC
rnacentral:rRNA from 1 species